rnacentral:rRNA from 1 species
AUUGAACGCUGGCGGCAGGCCUAACACAUGCAAGUCGAGCGGAUGAAGGGAGCUUGCUCCUGGAUUCAGCGGCGGACGGGUGAGUAAUGCCUAGGAAUCUGCCUGGUAGUGGGGGAUAACGUCCGGAAACGGGCGCUAAUACCGCAUACGUCCUGAGGGAGAAAGUGGGGGAUCUUCGGACCUCACGCUAUCAGAUGAGCCUAGGUCGGAUUAGCUAGUUGGUGGGGUAAAGGCCUACCAAGGCGACGAUCCGUAACUGGUCUGAGAGGAUGAUCAGUCACACUGGAACUGAGACACGGUCCAGACUCCUACGGGAGGCAGCAGUGGGGAAUAUUGGACAAUGGGCGAAAGCCUGAUCCAGCCAUGCCGCGUGUGUGAAGAAGGUCUUCGGAUUGUAAAGCACUUUAAGUUGGGAGGAAGGGCAGUAAGUUAAUACCUUGCUGUUUUGACGUUACCAACAGGAUAAGCACCGGCUAACUUCGU